AACGAACGCUGGCGGCAUGCCUAAUACAUGCAAGUCGAACGAGAUCUUCGGAUCUAGUGGCGCACGGGUGCGUAACGCGUGGGAAUCUGCCCUUGGGUUCGGAAUAACUUCUGGAAACGGAAGCUAAUACCGGAUGAUGUCGUAAGUCCAAAGAUUUAUCGCCCAAGGUUGAGCCCGCGUAGGAUUAGCUAGUUGGUGGGGUAAAGGCUCACCAAGGCGACGAUCCUUAGCUGGUCUGAGAGGAUGAUCAGCCACACUGGGACUGAGACACGGCCCAGACUCCGACGGGAGGCAGCAGUAGGGAAUAUUGGACAAUGGGCGAAAGCCUGAUCCAGCAAUGCCGCGUGAGUGAUGAAGGCCUUAGGGUUGUAAAGCUCUUUUACCCGGGAUGAUAAUGACAGUACCGGGAGAAUAAGCUCCGGCUAACUCCGUGCCAGCCGCCGCCGUAAAAC
rnacentral:rRNA from 1 species